rnacentral:rRNA from 1 species
GUGGGUAGUUUGACUGGGGCGGUCUCCUCCUAAAGAGUAACGGAGGAGCACGAAGGUUGGCUAAUCCUGGUCGGACAUCAGGAGGUUAGUGCAAUGGCAUAAGCCAGCUUGACUGCGAGCGUGACGGCGCGAGCAGGUGCGAAAGCAGGUCAUAGUGAUCCGGUGGUUCUGAAUGGAAGGGCCAUCGCUCAACGGAUAAAAGGUACUCCGGGGAUAACAGGCUGAUACCGCCCAAGAGUUCAUAUCGACGGCGGUGUUUGGCACCUCGAUGUCGGCUCAUCACAUCCUGGGGCUGAAGUAGGUCCCAAGGGUAUGGCUGUUCGCCAUUUAAAGUGGUACGCGAGCUGGGUUUAGAACGUCGUGAGACAGUUCGGUCCCUAUCUGCCGUGGGCGCUGGAGAACUGAGGGGGGCUGCUCCUAGUACGAGAGGACCGGAGUGGACGCAUCACUGGUGUUCGGGUUGUCAUGCCAAUGGCACUGCCCGGUAGCUAAAUGCGGAAGAGAUAAGUGCUGAAAGCAUCUAAGCACGAAACUUGCCCCGAGAUGAGUUCUCCCUGAGACUUUAGGUCUCCUGAAGGAACGUUGAAGACGACGACGUUGAUAGGCCGGGUGUGUAAGCGCAGCGAUGCG